GAUGAACGCUGGCGGCGUGCCUAAUACAUGCAAGUCGAGCGAACAGACGAGGAGCUUGCUCCUCUGACGUUAGCGGCGGACGGGUGAGUAACACGUGGAUAACCUACCUAUAAGACUGGGAUAACUUCGGGAAACCGGCGCUAAUACCGGAUAAUAUAUUGAACCGCAUGGUUCAAUAGUGAAAGACGGUUUUGCUGUCACUUAUAGAUGGAUCCGCGCCGCAUUAGCUAGUUGGUAAGGUAACGGCUUACCAAGGCAACGAUGCGUAGCCGACCUGAGAGGGUGAUCGGCCACACUGGAACUGAGACACGGUCCAGACUCCUACGGGAGGCAGCAGUAGGGAAUCGUCCGCAAUGGGCGAAAGCCUGACGGAGCAACGCCGCGUGAGUGAUGAAGGUCUUCGGAUCGUAAAACUCUGUUAUUAGGGAAGAACAAAUGUGUAAGUAACUAUGCACGUCUUGACGGUACCUAAUCAGAAAGCCACGGCUAACUACGUG
rnacentral:rRNA from 1 species